rnacentral:lncRNA from 1 species
GGCCCCGGCGGUCCCUGCGGUCCCUGCGGUCCCUGCGCCGCACCGCACUCCUGCCUCCCGCCAGCCCGCGCUCACCCCGCCGCCGCUGACUGCGCCGAUGCCAUCGAACUCCCGGCCCAGCCCGUCGGAGUCGUCUAGCACGUAGGCGCCACCGGGCACUAGCAGCGCACACAACAAUAAGGGCACCGCAACACGGCUCGCCGAGCCCGCGGCGGCGGUCAUGACUUUUGCUUGGCGUUGCUGGGAAGCCUUAGGUUGGCUGUUAGCCAUUGUGCGGGUCACGCGACUGUGGCGCCCGGGGAGGCGGGCCCGAUCGCCUCCCUGAGGAAGAAGAGCGGGCGGCUGAGGAAGCUUUCGCCAUCUUAAGUGAGGGCUGCGGGCUGUCCGCGCAGCCGCUGUUGUGUUGAGCUGGGGGGGCGGGGUGGGGGGCUGGUUGAGCGAGCUUUGCCUUGUCACUUCUGUGUCAAAGAGGCGGGACCGGUCUCUGCGUGUAAUUACUUAGUGACCACUCUUCCUACCUCACCUGAUGGAUCAUCUUAGAAAACGGGAAGUGAAUGGUCAACAACGGUCAAAAGAGGGCUUUGAGUGGUCCUACUCUAGCCGAGCAUUCCCAGUAGGAAACAGCAAUGAGGACCUGGCUUUAAGCGCCCCCAGUUAAGCGGUCACCUUGGUUGAGUCGCUUGGCUUGAGGACCCUGAAUUUUUCUAAACCACCGUGAGACCAGAACAGCAAGUCAGGGAACUCCGGAUAAGAUAAAAGUAAGAUAAUAGGCACUCGGGAAGUCAUAAUUGUGCACUUAUAUACACUUAGCAAAUGCUAGCUGACAAAGUUUGUUCGAUUGAGUAGUCUGCUAUAUCCAGGUCUUUUAGCCUUAAAAGAGUUAAUAUGAUUACUCGUCCAAAAUGUUGCUAUAUAGUAAUUUGAAUUGCGAGACCUAAAAAAUACAAUAGGUUCAGAAUACUCGGACCUUUAUUCUGUUUCUUGAAUAAAAAAUGACUAUGAAAAUCACUUAUGAAAGAUGCCCUGACUUACAUAGAGGAAGUGGUAAUGUUUGCCAACUCCUGUUACAGUAACCCUUGCCUUCCUAUUCACUUCUCUACCCAGUUAAAUACCCUGGCAGGUGCAUCCAACCUGUGCCUGAGACCACAUGGAGCAGAUGAUUGCUAUGAAAGCACCCUACCCCAAAAUUGUACAUAAACUUAACUCAAGACAUUCUGUGACUUUUUAUGAUUAAAAUAGUCAACUGUG